AUGCAGCCGACACAAUCAGCGAGGAUGUUUUUAUCUGCCUGCAAAGCAGCAGAAACGUGUGACGACACAGCAAAACUGGAUAACCUCUAUUACAUCAUGGUCCGUGAAAGGAAGGUUUGCAACCGUGUGGCUCAGGAGCAGCUCAACAAACAACAGCAGGUCAUCCAAAAACUGGUCAAGGAGCAGAAAGAACUCAAGAUAGACCUAAACAUUCUUAAUGCGGGUGCAAAGGCGACGCAGAAGGAUGAAAAGAGGAAGAAACUACAGACUCUGGCCGUAUUGUUGAUAGAUAAAACCCUAAAGCAAGGGAAGAGCUGUGAAGAAGAGCUAGACCAUGAGAUCACAACCAUGACAACCGAGACGAUAAAAUAUAAAAAACAAAAAUCUAUCGUGACUCAAUGUGCAGAGAGAGACCGGGUUCAGAACAAAGUACAGUAUCUGGAGAAGAAGCUGUUAAGAACUUUGAAUUACCUUGAUAGCCAAAGGAAUAAAAUCCAAGAACUGAAGAAAGAGCUGAAGAAUCAGCAUGAGGAGAGUGCCCGUUUACAGCUACACCGGACCACUUACCCACACAAAAAGGUUACUAAUGAUCUUGGCAUGUACAUUAGGGAUAAUAUGAAACGUACUACCCUCGCAUGUGAAGACAGGACCAGCGUUGACAAUAAGAUUAUGAUGAUGAAAAAGAAGGAAGAGAACACCCUUGCCAAAACCCAAAGAAAGAUAAAAGAACUUGCAGCACUAUUCCCCGAGGAAACUGUCCAAGAAGAAGUGGAGAUCCCGGAGGACACAGAGGAAAGCCCAGGUGAUGAAGAAGAGGUCCAAACGUAUGAAGCAGUAGAGUUCCAAGUGGACGAUGAAGAAGUGGUUAACCUGGAGGAUCUCGAAAAAGUCACCUUGGACUUGCUGGUCACCAAGUUCCUCCAGGAUGAAAACCAAAAAUGUGAACUUUACACUCUGAUAUGUGAUCAAAAAAAUGAAAUCCAGGAGCAUAACGAUAUUAUUCGGCAGGUAAGCAUGUCUUUAUCUUGUCCCCAUUUAGAAAUAAAGUAUUUAUAUUUGACUGAAUACACGUGA
rnacentral:lncRNA from 1 species